AAAUGACUCAUAUCACACGAACUACCUCAUAGUCAGUCCGAAUUGAUCCAACUCAUAAAUACUAGAUGAUAGCCUGGAGGAAAAGGAAAAAGGGGUCAUCGUUACUGGAGCUGAACGAAAAGUAAUGCACACUCGCAGGACCACAGAGCAAGUUAACCAUUUAUCCAUCAACGAAUCAUAUACUUACUUCACAACACGCAAGAAGUCGUUAACAGCUGCAACUGUUUCAUUAUCUUCUUUUUCUCGACCAGUGUAGUACUUUUCUUGCUCUAGAUAAGGAGCUGCUUUUUCCAGAGCUCUCAGUUCCAGUGAGUAUACAAAAUACAGAUUACGAAGCCACUGAGGUCCUUCUCCAUCAGUCAUGGCUGGACUGAAACGUC